UACGUGGGUGGCGAGCGUUAUCCGGAAUUAUUGGGCGUAAAGAGCGCGCAGGUGGUUGAUUAAGUCUGAUGUGAAAGCCCACGGCUUAACCGUGGAGGGUCAUUGGAAACUGGUCGACUUGAGUGCAGAAGAGGGAAGUGGAAUUCCAUGUGUAGCGGUGAAAUGCGUAGAGAUAUGGAGGAACACCAGUGGCGAAGGCGGCUUCCUGGUCUGUAACUGACACUGAGGCGCGAAAGCGUGGGGAGCAAACAGGAUUAGAUA
rnacentral:rRNA from 1 species